GCCUGGCUGGCUCAGUUGGAAGAGUGUGUGACUCUUGAUCUUGGGGUUGUGAGUUUGAGCCCCACGUUGGGUA
rnacentral:tRNA from 1 species